CUUUUGGUUUGGAAUAACACGGGGAAACUUGUGCUAAUACCGAAUAAGCCCUUACGGGGAAAGUUUUAACGCCGAAAGAUGAGCCCGCACUUGAUUAGCUAGUUGGUAAGGUAAAAGCUUACCAAGGCAAUGAUCAAUAGCUGUUCUUAGAGGAAGACCAGCCACAUUGGGACUGAGACACGGCCCAGACUCCUACGGGAGGCAGCAGUGGGGAAUCUUGCACAAUGGGGGAAACCCUGAUGCAGCGAUGCCGCGUGAGUGAAGAAGGCCUUUGGGUUGUAAAACUCUUUCGUCGGGGAAGAAAAUGACUGUACCCGAAUAAGGAGGUCCGGCUAACUUCGUGCCAGCAGCCGCGGUAAUACGAAGGGACCUAGCGUAGUUCGGAAUUACUGGGCUUAAAGAGCUCGUAGGUGGUUAAAAAAGUUGAUGGUGAAAUCCCAAGGCUCAACCUUGGAACUGCCAUCAAAACUUUUUAGCUAGAGUGUGAUAGAGGUAAGUGGAAUUUCUAGUGUAGAGGUGAAAUUCGUAGAUAUUAGAAAGAACACCAAAUGCGAAGGCAACUUACUGGGUCACUACUGACACUGAGGAGCGAAAGCAUGGGUAGCGAAGAGGAUUAGAUACCCUCGUAGUCCAUGCCGUAACGAUGUGUGCUAGACGUUGGAAAUAUAUUUUUUCAGUGUCGCAGCGAAA
rnacentral:rRNA from 1 species